rnacentral:misc_RNA from 1 species
UUGAAGUUAUUUAAUUCCCACUCAGAAUACUAUUUUAAAACAGAGUUUAAUGGUCCUGCGGCAGGCACACGAGAGCCCUUGUUAGGGGCCGACGGCGGCUCGCCCGUGAGGGCUGACCGACGACCUGCCGAGGCAACAGAGGUAUGAUAAACAUAGGGUUGGAGGUCGGGCCCCGAAGGACCCUUUCUCAGUAAUGAUCCUUCCGCAGGUUCACCUACGGAAA